CACACUUUAUUAAUAUUAUGAGCAAAAUAAAGAAGUGAAAAAUUGUUCAACUUUGAUCCAUUUUAAAAAUGGGUUUUUAAUCAUAAUUAAGCCAUUUUAGCCAAAUUUUAAAAACUAUCAGCAAUAGUUCCUUAGAAAUUUGCCACAGAGUUGUGGGCGGGACAAUCGGUGCAGAGCAAUUCCGCCCCACUUCCCAUCACUCAUCCGUAUACAAACUCUCCCGCUAGCUUACAGCCCUCACAACCUCAAGCUAGCAUAAACGGUGCAACAAAAACCGUGAGCAAUAUUGGAGUUACCCAACAGUUUUGAGAUCAGAUUCAAGCUCGGAGGAGGAAAACAAAACAAAACAAAAACAAAAAAGACGCUAAUGGUUCUAAUUGUCUGCAAGUGGAUCAAUCAGAAUGGAGCUUUUGGCCCCGCCCAUUGUAUUUUCUACAUCCCAAAUACAAUCUUUUUCUAAAAAGUAAUUUUUUUCAUCCUAAUUCAGAAUUAUGUUGAUUUUUUUUUUUUUAUUGGAGUGGGUCUUUAAGCUUUUUCCUGCAUCUUUGUCUGGUAAACGUGUGCAAAAAUGUUUGGUUUAAUAUAUCUAGGUUUUAUCAAACAUUUGUUGGUGUUUCCGUCACAGUUGAUCCUGUUGUGGAACAGAAACAUGGAACUCUCAUCUCCUGACACACUGAACUGGAUUGUCUCAUUAACAUGACAGUGGCGGUUAUGAAGGCUGAGCGACUGCUGCGAAACUCCAGAGACUGUUGCCACGGUAGCCCGGGGGUUGCUAGGAUACCAGUAAAUAGGGGGUAUUCAUGCUUCCCCACCCCUCUUAGAGGGGGAGUCAAAGCAGCAGCUUUGUCUGCGGGGAAGGAGAUGAGCGAGAUGGAACGUCCAGAGAUGAUCCCGCUGAGUCAGCAGCAGAGAACCAGCUCAGUCCAGGUUUCUGCUUCACCUCUAAACCUCCAAAUAUCCGCCAUGGAGCGCCGCUGCUGACAGCGCCGCUUCCUGCCCCUCACUGUGCGCCUGUCAGCGUCCCCACGCCGCGAGUCUCUGGUCGACACCGGCACGGCAAGAACACGCUCGUCCCCCGCACACGGUACGGGGAGGGGUGCGUUUGGGUCUUUGGAGCCCGCUCCGGUGCCGGUUCUGUUUGUGGUUCUCGAGCGGCCGCAUCAGUUGCGGAUGGAGGGAGAGGCUGUCAAAGAUUCGGCUAUUUUAUGCAAAGAUCGUCAAUCUCUAGGAGGAACCCUCACUCUGCAAACGUAAAAAAUACGUCUACAAAAUAAAA